rnacentral:rRNA from 1 species
UCAAGCGAAUAAGGGUCUACGGUGGAUGCCUAGGAGCUGUCUGGCGAAGAAGGUCGUGGUAAGCUGCGAAAAGUCCCGGGGAGGAGCAAACAUCCAGAGAUCCGGGGGUGACCGAAUGGGGUAACCCGUGGGGGUGAGAAUCCCCCACAUCUGCAGGUGAACACAUAGUCUGCAGAGGCGAGACCCAGGGAACUGAACCAUCUAAGUACCUGGAGGAGAAGAAAACAAGAGUGAUUCCCUUAGUAGCGGCGAGCGAAGGGGGAAGAGCCUAAACCUAUCAUGUGCAAGGUGUGCACCGUUGCAUGGUAGGGGUUAUAGGGCUGUGCUGGAGGGCGUGCAUGAGCCCUCGCAGAGUAAGAAACCGCAAUCAUAGUGGAAUGCCACUGGGAAGGGCGACCGGAGAGGGUGAAAGUCCCGUACACGAAAUGGAUGCGGCUCUGUGGGCGCAGAACCUAAGUACCGUGGGACACGGGAAAUCCUGCGGGAAGUUGGGAGGACCACCUUCCAAGGCUAAAUACGAGACAGCUACCGAUAGUGAAGAAGUACCGUGAGGGAAAGGUGAAAAGGACCCCGGGAGGGGAGUGAAAUGAGAACCUGAAACCGUAGACCUACAAGCGGUCAGAGCUGAACCUUCGGGUUCAGUGAUGGCGUGCCUUUUGUAGAAUGAGCCUGCGAGUUACCGUGGGUAGCAAGGUUAAGGCAUGGUAAGUGCCGGAGCCGAAGGGAAACCGAGUCUGAAUAGGGCGAAAUUAGUUACCUGUGGUAGACCCGAAGCCGAGUGAUCUAUCCAUGUCCAGGCUGAAGCUUGAGUAAAAUCAAGUGGAGGGCCGAACGGUCGAGUGAUGAAAAACUCACCGAUGAGGUGUGGAUAGGAGUGAAAGGCUAAUCAAACUCGGAGAUAGCUGGUACUCCCCGAAAUGGCUUUAGGGUCAGCCUUGAGUUGACUGUUGCGGAGGUAGAGCACUGGAUGGACUAGGGCCCUUCACCGGGUACCAAACCCAACCAAACUCCGAAUGCCGUAACAGGGUGCUCGGGAGUGAGACUACGGGCGAUAAGGUUCGUGGUCGAAAGGGAAACAGCCCAGACCGUUGGCUAAGGUCCUAAAGAGCGAGCUAAGUGGGAAAGGAAGUGUGAGUGCGGAGACAUCCAGGAGGUUGGCUUAGAAGCAGCCAAGCCUUGAAAGAGUGCGUAACAGCUCACUGGUCGAGUACUCACGCGCCUAUAAUGUAACGGGGCUAAAGUUCGUCACCGAAGCCGCGGAUUGCAUACUUCUAAGGAAGUGUGUGAUGGUAGGGGAGCAUUCCGUGUGCUGAUGAAGGUGGUCUGAGAGGGCUGCUGGAGGUAGCGGAAGAGAGAAUGCAGGCAUGAGUAACGAAAAGACGGGUGAAAAACCCGUCCGCCGGAAGCCUAAGGAUUCCUGGGUAAAGGUAAUCUGCCCAGGGUUAGUCGGCCCCUAAGGUGAGGCUGAAAAGCGUAGCCGAUGGGAAACGGGUUCAUAUUCCCGUACCUCUGGUAGUUUCGAGGGGAUGACGCGUGAGGCGAGACUCGGCCGGGCGAUGGUAGUCCCGGUCUAAGCAGCAAGCCGCUGACGGGGAGAGGCAAAUCCCUCUCCGGAGGUGAGCUGUUAAGGCGAGCCGACCUACGGGAAGGCGAAGCGAGUUGUAGUCAAGGCGCCGAGAAAGAAUCUCUAAGGAUAGGCUAUCAGGGACCGUACCGUAAACCGACACAGGUAGGCGGGAAGAAUAUUCUCAGGCGCUCGAGAGAAACCGCGUUAAGGAACUCGGCAAAAUGCACACGUAACUUCGGGAGAAGUGUGGCCUGUUGUGGGGGAGCAUUUGGAGAGCAAUUUCUGAGUGUGAACUUACGGGAGGUUGCAGAGAAAAGGCCCAGGCGACUGUUUAACAAAAACACAGGUCUCUGCGAAUCGGUAACGAGAAGUAUAGGGACUGACACCUGCCCGGUGCCGGAAGGUUAAGGGGAGUGGUUAGCUUGCCUUUGGGUGAGCGAAGCUACGAACUGAAGCCCCGGUAAACGGCGGCCGUAACUAUAACGGUCCUAAGGUAGCGAAAUUCCUUGUCGGGUAAGUUCCGACCUGCACGAAU